GGUUCGAUUAUGGCUCAGAUUGAACGCUGGCGGGAUGCUUUACACAUGCAAGUCGAACGGCAGCAUCGACUUCGGUCUGGUGGCGGAGUGGCGAACGGGUGAGUAAUGUAUCGGAACGUGCCUAGUAGCGGGGGAUAACUACGCGAAAGCGGGGGCUAAUAAUGCAUACGCCCUGGGGAAAGCGGGGGACCUUCGGGCCUCGCACUAUUAGAGCGGCCGAUAUCGUGGAUUAGCUUAGUUGGUGGGGCAACGGCUCACUCAAGGCGACGAUCCGUGGUUUGAGAGGACGACCAGCCACACUGGGACUGAGACACGGCCCAGACUCCCACGGGAGGCAGCAGUGGGGAAAUGGACAAUGGGGGGAAACCCUGAUCCAGCCAUCUGGCGUGUGCGAUGAAGGCCUUCGGGUUGUAAAGCACUUUUGGCAGGAAAGAAACGGCACGGAUAACACCCUGUGCAACUGACGGUACUCAGAAUAAGCACCGGCUAAUCACGUGCCAGCAGCCGCGGUAAUACGUAGGGUGCAAGUAAAUCGGGAAUUACUGGGCGCAAAGCGCGUGCAGGCGGCUCGGAAAGAGAUGGAAUCCCAGAGCUUAACUUUGAACUGCAUUUUUGGAAUUCACCGAGCUAGAGUGUGUCAGAGGGAGGUGGAAUUCGCGUAGCAGUGAAAUGCGUAGAUAUGCGGAGGAACACCGAUGGCGAAGGCAGCCUCCUGGGAUAACACCUUGACGCCUCAUGCACGAAAGCGUGGGGAGCAAACAGGAUUAGAUAAUUCUGUAGUCCACGCCCUAAACGAUGUCGUCAACUAGCUGGGUUGGGGCCUUCGGGCCUUGUAGCGCAGCUAACGCGUGAAGUUGACCGCCUGGGGAGUACGGUCGCAAGAUUAAAACUCAAAGGAAUUGACGGGGACCCGCACAAGCGGUGGAUGAUGGGAUUAAUUCGAUGCAACGAAAACCCACCACCCUUGACAUGUCUGAAUCCCGAAGAGAUUUGGGAGUGCUCGCAAGAGAACCGAACACAGGUGCUGCAUGGCUGUCGUCAGCUCGUGUCGUGAGAUGUUGGGUUAAGUCCCGCAACGAGCGCAACCCGUCAUUAGUUGCUACGAAAGGGCACCUAAUGAGACUGCCGGUGACAAACCGGAGGAAGGUGGGGAUGACGUCAAGUCCUCAUGGCCCUUAUGGGUAGGGCUUCACACGUCAUACAAUGGUCGGGACAGAGGGUCGCCAACCCGCGAGGGGGAGCCAAUCCCAGAAACCCGAUCGUAGUCCGGAUCGCAGUCUGCAACUCGACUGCGUGAAGUCGGAAUCGCCAGUAAUCGCGGAUCAGCAUGUCGCGGUGAAUACGUUCCUGGCCCGGUGGUAUACACACCGCCCGUCACACCAUGGGAGUGGGUUUUACCAGAAGUAGUUAGCCCAACCGCAAGGAGGGCGAUUACCACGGUAGGAUUCAUGACUGGGGUGUCAACAAGGUAG
rnacentral:rRNA from 1 species